UGGAGAGGAAGUCCACAGCAGCAGGC
rnacentral:piRNA from 1 species